AGUGAACGCUGGCGGCAGGCCUAACACAUGCAAGUCGAACGGCAACACAGUAAGAGCUUGCUCCUACGGGUGGCGAGUGGCGGACUGGUGCGGAAUACACCGGAAUCUACUUUUUCGUGGGGGAUAACGUAGGGAAACUUACGCUAAUACCUCAUACGACCUACGGGUGAAAGCAGAGGAUCUUUGGACCUCGCGCGAUUGAAUGAGCCGAUGUCGGAUUAGCUAGUUGGCGGGGUAAAGGCCCACCAAGGCGACGAUCCGUAGCUGGUCUGAGAGGAUGAUCAGCCACACUGGAACUGAGACACGGUCCAGACUCCUACGGGAGGCAGCAGUGGGGAAUAUUGGACAAUGGGCGCAAGCCUGAUCCAGCCAUACCGCGUGGGUGAAGAAGGCCUUCGGGUUGUAAAGCCCUUUUGUUGGGAAAGAAAAGCAGCAGGUUAAUACCCCGCGGUUCUGACGGUACCCAAAGAAUAAGCACCGGCUAACUUCGUG
rnacentral:rRNA from 1 species